UACGUAGGGACCAAGCGUUGUUCGGAUUUACUGGGCGUAAAGGGCGCGUAGGCGGCGUGGUAAGUCACUUGUGAAAUCUCUGAGCUUAAACUCAGAACGGCCAAGUGAUACUGCUGUGCUAGAGUGCAGAAGGGGCAAUCGGAAUUCUUUGGUGUAGCGGUGAAAUGCGUAGAUAUCAAGAGGAACACCUGAGGUGAAGACGGGUUGCUGGGCUGACACUGACGCUGAGGCGCGAAAGCCAGGGGAGCAAACGGG
rnacentral:rRNA from 1 species